AAUACCGGCGAGAAAUCGCCGACAAGACCGCAUAGGCUCUCGCAAGAGAGCAAAGCUCCUUGCGCAAGCGAGGGGCGCCAGAGGAUGGGCCUGCGGCCGAUUAGCUAGUUGGUAGGGUAACGGCUCACCAAGGCGACGAUCGGUAGCUGGUCUGAGAGGACGAUCAGCCACACUGGGAUUGAGAACGGCCCAGACUCCUACGGGGGGCAGCAGUGAGGAAUUUUCCGCAAUGGACGCAAGUCUGACGGAGCAACGCCGCGUGCAGGAGGAAGGUUUUCGGAUCGUAAACUACUUUUAUCAGGGAAGAGCACGGACGGUACCUGAUGAAUAAGCCCCGGCUAACUACGUGCCAGCAGCCGCGGUAAUACGUAGGGGGCGAGCGUUGUCCGGAAUUAUUGGGCGUAAAGGGCACGCAGGCGGUCUGCUAAGUUCGGGAUGAAAGUCACCAGCUUAACUGGUGAAGGACUUCGAAAACUGGUGGACUUGAGAGCGAGAGAGGGACCUGGAACUCCGGGUGGAGUGGUGAAAUGCGUAGAUAUCCGGAGGAACACCAAAGGCGAAGGCAGGGUCCUGGCUCGUUUCUGACGCUGAGGUGCGAAAGCUAGGGGAGCGAACGGGAUUAGAUACCCCGGUAGUCCUAGCCGUAAACGAUGACCACCAGGCGUGGGAGGUAUCGACCCCUUCCGUGCCGAAGCUAACGCAGUAAGUGGUCCGCCUGGGGAGUACGGUCGCAAGACUAAAACUCAAAGGAAUUGACGGG
rnacentral:rRNA from 1 species